UAGAUCCUUUUCUUUUUCGGCGUCUCAAUUGGGUCCUUAUUUUUGUAAAAUUGAAUCAAAUAGGGACUUUCCGUUAAAUUGGACAAACGCCGUUUAAGUUUGGAGUACGUGGCAUAGUCAAUGUAUUAUUUUAAAUGAUGUGGCAGUUUAUAUAUGAUUAACGUGUAUUUUAUAAUUUCUAAAUUAAAAAAUUAAGGGUAAAUUGGGAAAAGAAAAUUAAAGGCAAUGACUCUUUCUGCAAUUGAGGAAUGAAAUUAGGGUUCGUGAGAGAAAGUUGAAGGAGGCGGAGCCGACGGAGGAGUUGAAGUUCGCCUUGGAGGAUCUUCCAGCAAGCUGGUUCUCGAGGUCAGCGAGUAUUAUGAGAUGUUGUUGCGGAAGAGCAGGAUGAAGGAGGCGUGCUUGGAGGCGAGGAGGUUGAGGUAGAAGGUCUUGAGGAGUGUGUGGCAGGGGUCGGUGGUGCCCUGGAAGACGCAGACGUGGUAGCCGCUGGCGAAGGAGGUGGAAGGCAUGAAACAACAAUGUUACGCGGGUCGGGCAUUGCAGCAAACACAACCCAACCACAGGAACGAAUUGCCUCCCCUCUCAAGAGUAACGAAGCUCAUCUCUAAUCUCUCUUCCCGCCGCCGCAAGCUCAUAUGAUCUCCUCUGUCGAGUUCACGACGGCGAGGCAAAGGCAAGGCGUCUCACGCUGACGACGUUGACAAUCCUAUCCUUCCCCUUUGUUAGGUUUUCAGGUUUUCUUCCUUUAAGAUUCUGGAAAAGUUUUUGGAGAUGGAAGGUUUUCAUGCCUAGACAGUAGACAAUGAAGGAUACCAUUCCAGAAAUAAUUUGGUUACCGGAGAAGAUGAAGGAUACUAUUCCAGGAAUAAUGUUUGAUGUUGACAGUGUUUUUUUACCUUUCCAUGUAUUCUAUGAAAUAAGAUGACCAUUUUGUC